UGUAAUUCUGCCAUGGAUCUCGAUUGCCCU
rnacentral:piRNA from 1 species